UAAAAAUCUCAGCUGCUCCUGGAAACUUAGAAGAUUGAUUGCGUGCCCGGAGAGAGACAGAAAGACAUGCCACAAGCCUUUACGUUAUAGGGCAAAACCAUUUGAAACAACAGUAGUAAGGGAAGGUGGUUUGUACUACUCACAGUCUUCAAAUUCAGGUAAGUUCAUUUUUCUUGUGAACUCUUCACCUAGGCCCCAAUUAGUAUCCUAUUAACCUCCUUAAAUAUGGAAUUGCUAAGAUCUUAGAAUACUCCAAAAUGGUCUAUUAGCUACCCCAUUUCCUGGCUCCAUCAGAUGAAAAUGCC
rnacentral:lncRNA from 1 species